UACGGGGGGAGCAAGCGUUGUUCGGAUUUACUGGGCGUAAAGGGCGCGUAGGCGGUCAGCACAAGUCAGUUGUGAAAUCUCCGGGCUUAACUCGGAAAGGUCAACUGAUACUGUGCGACUAGAGUGCAGAAGGGGCAACUGGAAUUCUCGGUGUAGCGGUGAAAUGCGUAGAUAUCUGGAGGAACACCGGUGGCGAAGGCGGCAUCCUGGACCAAUUCUGACGCUGAGGAGCGAAAGCCAGGGGAGGCAAACGGG
rnacentral:rRNA from 1 species